rnacentral:rRNA from 1 species
GUAGGUGANACUCUGCGGAAGGAUCAUUA